GACGAACGCUGGCGGCGUGCUUAACACAUGCAAGUCGAACGGAAAGGCCCUGCUUUUGUGGGGUUCUCGAGUGGCGAACGGGUGAGUAACACGUGAGUAACCUGCCCUUGACUUUGGGAUAACUUCAGGAAACUGGGGCUAAUACCGGAUAGGAGCUCCUGCUGCAUGGUGGGGGUUGGAAAGUUUCGGCGGGUGGGGAUGGACUCGCGGGUUACCAGCUUGUUGGUGGGGUAGUGGCUUACCAAGGCUUUGACGGGUAGCCGGCCUGGGAGGGUGACCGGCCUCAUUGGGACUACGGGACGGACCAGUGUCCUACGGUGGGCAGCGGUGGGGAAUAUUGCACAGUGGGCGGACGCCUGAUGCAGCAACGCCGCGUGCGGGAUGACGGCCUUCGGGUUGUGAACCGCUUUCGCCUGUGACGAAGCGGUAGUGACGGUAAUGGGUAAAGAAGCACCGGCUAACUACGUG
rnacentral:rRNA from 1 species